GAUGAACGCUGGCGGCGUGCCUAAUACAUGCAAGUCGAGCGAACGGACGAGAAGCUUGCUUCUCUGAUGUUAGCGGCGGACGGGUGAGUAACACGUGGAUAACCUACCUAUAAGACUGGGAUAACUUCGGGAAACCGUAGCUAAUACCGGAUAAUAUUUUGAACCGCAUGGUUCAAAAGUGAAAGACGGUCUUGCUGUCACUUAUAGAUGGAUCCGCGCUGCAUUAGCUAGUUGGUAAGGUAACGGCUUACCAAGGCAACGAUGCAUAGCCGACCUGAGAGGGUGAUCGGCCACACUGGAACUGAGACACGGUCCAGACUCCUACGGGAGGCAGCAGUAGGGAAUCUUCCGCAAUGGGCGAAAGCCUGACGGAGCAACGCCGCGUGAGUGAUGAAGGUCUUCGGAUCGUAAAACUCUGUUAUUAGGGAAGAACAUAUGUGUAAGUAACUGUGCACAUCUUGACGGUACCUAAUCAGAAAGCCACGGCUAACUACGUGCCAGCAGCCGCGGUAAUACGUAGGUGGCAAGCGUUAUCCGGAAUUAUUGGGCGUAAAGCGCGCGUAGGCGGUUUUUUAAGUCUGAUGUGAAAGCCCACGGCUCAACCGUGGAGGGUCAUUGGAAACUGGAGAACUUGAGUGCAGAAGAGGAAAGUGGAAUUCCAUGUGUAGCGGUGAAAUGCGCAGAGAUAUGGAGGAACACCAGUGGCGAAGGCGACUUUCUGGUCUGUAACUGACGCUGAUGUGCGAAAGCGUGGGGAUCAAACAGGAUUAGAUACCCUGGUAGUCCACGCCGUAAACGAUGAGUGCUAAGUGUUAGGGGGUUUCCGCCCCUUAGUGCUGCAGCUAACGCAUUAAGCACUCCGCCUGGGGAGUACGACCGCAAGGUUGAAACUCAAAGGAAUUGACGGGGACCCGCACAAGCGGUGGAGCAUGUGGUUUAAUUCGAAGCAACGCGAAGAACCUUACCAAAUCUUGACAUCCUUUGACAACUCUAGAGAUAGAGCCUUCCCCUUCGGGGGACAAAGUGACAGGUGGUGCAUGGUUGUCGUCAGCUCGUGUCGUGAGAUGUUGGGUUAAGUCCCGCAACGAGCGCAACCCUUAAGCUUAGUUGCCAUCAUUAAGUUGGGCACUCUAAGUUGACUGCCGGUGACAAACCGGAGGAAGGUGGGGAUGACGUCAAAUCAUCAUGCCCCUUAUGAUUUGGGCUACACACGUGCUACAAUGGACAAUACAAAGGGCAGCGAAACCGCGAGGUCAAGCAAAUCCCAUAAAGUUGUUCUCAGUUCGGAUUGUAGUCUGCAACUCGACUACAUGAAGCUGGAAUCGCUAGUAAUCGUAGAUCAGCAUGCUACGGUGAAUACGUUCCCGGGUCU
rnacentral:rRNA from 1 species